rnacentral:misc_RNA from 1 species
AGUCGUAACAAGGUUUCCGUAGGUGAACCUGCGGAAGGAUCAUUAAAGAUUAUGAAUGAAUAGAUUACUGGGGGAAUCGUCUGAACAAGGCCUGCGCUUAAUUGCGCGGCCAGUUCUUGAUUCUCUGCUAUCAGUUUUCUAUUUCUCAUCCUAAACACAAUGGAGUUUUUUCUCUAUGAACUACUUCCCUGGAGAGCUCGUCUCUCCAGUGGACAUAAACACAAACAAUAUUUUGUAUUAUGAAAAACUAUUAUACUAUAAAAUUUAAUAUUCAAAACUUUCAACAACGGAUCUCUUGGUUCUCGCAUCGAUGAAGAACGCAGCGAAUUGCGAUAUGUAUUGUGAAUUGCAGAUUUUCGUGAAUCAUCAAAUCUUUGAACGCACAUUGCGCCCUCUGGUAUUCCAGGGGGCAUGCCUGUUUGAGCGUCAUUUCUCUCUCAAACCUUUGGGUUUGGUAGUGAGUGAUACUCGUCUCGGGUUAACUUGAAAGUGGCUAGCCGUUGCCAUCUGCGUGAGCAGGGCUGCGUGUCAAGUCUAUGGACUCGACUCUUGCACAUCUACGUCUUAGGUUUGCGCCAAUUCGUGGUAAGCUUGGGUCAUAGAGACUCAUAGGUGUUAUAAAGACUCGCUGGUGUUUGUCUCCUUGAGGCAUACGGCUUUAACCAAAACUCUCAAAGUUUGACCUCAAAUCAGGUAGGAGUACCCGCUGAACUUAAGCAUAUCAAUAA